GGGGAUGACAGGCAUCGACGGUUUGUCUGAUUCAUCUGCGCAAUGCCGAAAUUGGAACCACUUCGUUAAGAGGUUCUAUCUGUAUCUGCAAACAAAGCAAUACCAAGUCCGUUCUCAUACGGAUUCGCCUUCGCUCGAGCGUAAGUUCGCGUAGGUGACGCUAACCUACCCCACGUCUGAUAAGGUAGCGUUGGUGGAAUAGCAUCGGACUCUAGAUAAUUAAUUUGUUCCAUUAAUUAUCCGAAUUGUUAGGAACUGCUCGUCUAAAGGUUUUGCCUACUUUUCCACUUCAGACGCUAAGAUCUAAACUAGGCUAUGCAUUGUAGAACCAGUUGGGUCAACAUUCUCGGACGGCGGUUCGACUCCGCCCAUCUCCACGA
rnacentral:tmRNA from 1 species